GAAGAAGAAGAAGAAGAAGAAGAAGAAGAAGAAGAAGAAGAAGAAGAAGAAGAAGAAGUUGUUUCUUUGGAGUCUCAUAUCACCCCCUGGUGGCCAUAUAGGUUACUGAGCUGAUGAUGGCGAACUGGAAAUAUUGGACAAAGCUUUGUGAAAUUACUUCAACCUUUCACACUUUCUGUCAACAUUCUACAUUAGCACAACCGUUGUGGUUUUCCACGUCGUGAGAGCCAAGUAUCGCCACAGACUGUCCAGGAGCUCACUGAUGCCCUGAUCCAGGACGAGAUCCCCAAGGACACCAUCCACUGACUCAUCAGGAGCAUACACAGAUGUUGUCGGAAGUGCAUACAGGCAGGCGAGGCUGAGCUGGAAGAGAAGACGAGGCUCAUCAACCAGGUUUUGGAGCUUCAGCACACUUUAGAAGAACUGUCUUCCCGGGUGGAUGCUGUCAAAGAGGAAAACCUGAAAACCCUAAGGUCUUGGACCACAGGAGGGUGAGUUCAGAACACUAUGCAGAGGAUAAUGUAAAGUGAGUGGCAAUGUGCAUUGCCGGCAGUGGCAGAUGUGACUAGCAAUCUGCAGCCUGGUUCUGCUCUAUACUAAACAGCGUAGAAACAGAAAAGUCAAGCUAACCAUCGCACCAUUAUAACGCCUCCUCGCCCAAUCACUUUAGUGGAAAGCAGCAUGGAAAGAGCCAGGUGGUCUAUUCUUAGUGUAAAGUUGUGUCAAAAUAGAAAUAAUAGCCACAUAUUUAAACUGACAAUGUAGAUGAGUAGACAGCCAUUUAUGAAAAUCCAACUCGGAUCAUAACCUUAAAAUCUUUGAGAAAGAGCACUUCCUGGAUCAGGAUUUAUGUGGAUAAAAAAUCUCUUCCUAAUUAUUAUAAUGCCUUUAUUGUCACGGUAUGGUCAUGAGGACCAACAAAUUGGAUCAUAAACAUGUCCAUUUAAAUUAGUGGCCUAGAAGUCUCUGUAAGAGUUACUCUUCAGUGUUGAAGACUGAUGUCAACUUCAUUGUGCUCAAAACUAAGUUGGAGACAGGAUGUGGGGAAUCUUAAUUAGGUUGCAGACUGAGUUGUUUAAUGCUUAACACAUGUAAAGAAUUCAGCUGUUAAACGUAUUUGCAUUGAGUGUUGCUGCAUUAAUAAAAAUUUUCUAGUUCACUUUAAAAAACUCAUGCUCAAUGAGAAGUGUUACCACACCUUCAACCACAUUGUGUCAGAAACAACUUAAACCUGGUCAGUCAAUGCAGAACUUAUCAGUUAAAAUUCUAUGAACAAUUUUAAAUUGGAUUUUUGUAUGUUUUGUUCUCAGAAUUUUUUUUUAAAUCAACAUUUUGGAGCCAUUUGUCAAAUUAAAAUGUUUCACUUAGAAAAUUGAGAGCUAAAAAAUGUGAAAGUCAUGUGUUGAGCUGCCUGCCAAUCUCACCAAACCACAUUUGGAGGUGGUCUGGGCCACAUGUGUCCACAUUCUGUCAGCAGUGUGUACGAAAAUGCGUCCUGGGCCACAAAUGAAGGACCUCCUACUCAGCCAACAUCCACUGACCCACUGCAGUUUUACUAUUAAUAAAAGAGGCACCUGCCAGCCAAUCAGAGUUAAAUUGGUCAUGUAUAUAUCCAUGUGUAUUUACUCUGAAGUACUUUUAAUGAGAGGGUCUGUCACAUCCUCUGACAUUAUACAUUAACACCCUAUAAUUUUGUUAUUAUUCAGUUAAAUGAUAGUAUUUAAUACUGUUUAAUUGUGUUUAAUUGGCAAUGUGUUUAUGUAUCUGAACACAAACACAGAAUAAUGCACUCUUAAUUAACACAAGCUCUCAGGUCAGACCUCGGUCAGUCGAGCCCAGACGGCGGAAUCAGAGUGAACCACCAGACGUAGUGCUGAGAUCGGCUGUAGCGCUUCUUCAAUCUCCCCCUCAGCUACUCCAUCCUCGAAUCCACCUGAAACACACAAACCACACAUAAUAGAUUAGAUCACAUAGAAAUUGGAUUUCUAAAUGAAUUUGUAUAUACGUAUAUUCAUUUCUCUGUUGGCUAUGUGAUAGGCCAACGCACUGUCCAGGGUGCACCCCUGGCUUAAUGUUGCUAGACUCUUAGCAAAGAGCGAGAUUAACACGUUGAGAAUAAAGCACUUUCAGUGGACAUUAAGUGGAAUGUUGAAGUUGCCCCAUAUGAUUACAUUGCAGCCACUGCUACCAUGUUGCCCUUGUUGACUUAGGUUACUAAACUGAGUGCAAGGUGCGAAAUUAUUUACACACCGACAUUCAUAAAAAUAGUGCCCAGGUUGAGAAAAAGCUAAAUUCCCCUGUAAGGCAUGUUGCUUCAGCCCCACUGACUAAAAGGCUCUCUUUACUAUUUAUUCAAAGGUUGCUGGGAGAGCACCUCCACCUGUACCAGAGGACCAAUCGGUGCAGGGGAGAGCUGUUAGCUGACUGAUGCUCAGGUUGAAAAGGCAUAGAUUGGGAAACGCUCUGGACAGAGAAUCUAGGAGAGACGCACUCGGAAGCUCACAGGGGAGUCACGGAGAGACACAGCAAAACUUAGCUGAAAAGCUGGCCACUUAAGUUAAAGUUUUUUGGGAGGUUAUGUUUUUGUAUUAUUGUUUGUAUAAUGCUAAAAAGCAACACCCUUGUCUCUGGCUGUGAGUGGGAGAGCCCUGUGGCAUGGUGAACGUUAAAGACUCAACAGCUUGUCCAAAAUGCCGCAGCACGUGUCCUGACGAGAACAAAGAAAAGAGAGCACAUUUCUCCAGUAUUAACAUCGCUACACUGGCUUCCAGUUAAAUCUAGAAUAGAAUUUAAAAUUCUUCUCCUCACCUUCAAGGCCCUUAAUAAUAUAGCGCCUUUUUACCUUAAAGAGCUGUUAGUACCUUAUAAACCCACUAGAGCACUCCGCUCCCAGAAUUCAAGCCUACUUGUCGUCCCUAAAGUCUCUAAAAGUAGAGUAGGAGCCAGAGCUUUCAGCCAUCAAGCCCCUCGGCUGUGGAAUCAUCUACCACUUUCAGUUCGGGAGGCAGAUACCAUCUUUUCAUUUAAGAGUAGGCUCAAAACCUUCCUUUUUGAUAAAGCUUAUAGUUAGAGCUAAUUAGUGCGGAAGAACGUAACUUUUUCUAUUUUAUGACACAUGACACACGGAGCUUCUCUUUCCAGCUUCUCCAUCCCUAUCCCCCUUCCCCGGAAUCCCUUUGCUUUAUCACCCGCAGAUCCAGGGCCUCUGUGGCCGCACCAUGGAUUGCGGUUUGUGGAUCGCGCACCGGGGGUCGCAGUGUUGGAUCCAGUGUGGCGGAUUC